ACUCGAUUUUUCCCUUCCCAAUAACUUCAUUCCGCCAUUUUCAUCAUUCGUGUUCCAGUGCUUUGCCGUUCCACACGCGCUCGUCGUAAUAAAAAGUGAAAGUUAAAAGUGAAAGUUAUACACGUCACCACUAGUAUUAGUUCAUUUGUUUAUUACGGAAAAAUAUGCCGAAACGUAAAAGUAAUAACGAUUGUGAUCGCAUACAACGGAAAAUUAGGAAGUUGGAGAAAAAAUUAGCGCGCAAAAGGCGCCGUCGACGUCAUAGCCGUUCCGAUGAGGAGUUAUCGUCAUCUUCUUCAUCACGUCGAUCGUCGUUAAAUAAACAAGACUACGACUACAUCGGGUUGACUGAUGAUGAGGAUGCGUAUGUAGAUCUACCCGCGCCACAGUCGGAAACCGAUGGAAGGCCACCAGAAUCUGGUGAUGAGAACAAAACUGAAAUGACUUCGUCAAUACCCUCUGCCGUAACAGUUCCAUCGAAUAAUGUCGUUCCAUCGACUUCGACGACUACGGAACCUUCCACGUCAGCCGAACCAGUGGCAGUUGCAGUCGAAGACUCCUCCAACUUAGACAACGAUCUAUUGGACAUACUGGGGAUUGAUCCCACCACUGAUAAGAAAUACGGUAAAGAUUUACACAAAGAUCUUUCCGUUAGAUUACAACAUUGGACCACUGUUGGUCUUGACAAGGACCUUAAAAAGGAGUUAAAAGAUAGAUAUUUAACGCCCGGAAAUUGCAAAUUGAUUGAUCCACCAAUUUUGAAUGCAGAAAUGAAAGCUGCUAUUUCUGACAUCAAUGUUAAACGUGAUAAGGCUAUUGAAGCUAAACAGAAGGUACUUACCUCUGCUAUAGUCUGUCUAGGAGAAGCUAUUACGCUUCUUUUACCAUCUAAAGACAAGGAUACCAAUCUUAUAAAGUUGCUGAUGGACGCAAUUCGAAUAAUUUGUGAAUGCCAACAUAGUGACAGUGCCACGCGAAGAAAUUUUGUUAUGGGUGGUCUUAAAAAAGAAAUCAAAGAGCAGCUGCAAAACACCAAUAUAGACAAGUUUCUUUUUGGCGAAAAUUUAGCCGAAACUUUGAAGUCAGCAAAAACAAUUUGCAAAACUGGUACAGAUUUAAAACCACCUGCACCUAAGAACCCUAUUAAGAAACCAACGACCUCUAAUUCCACUAGGAAUUUAAACUGGCAGAAUCCGGGUCCGAGCCGCAGGCCAACGGGUCCACCAAGGAUGAGGCAGCCUGCAUCGACCUCGACACACAGUCGGCCCAACAGCUCAUCAAAGCCGUCGCAGCAUCAUCAGCAGCGACCGGGCUACAAUCGUCGCUAGACUCGGUAAAAACCGCAGGUAGACUAAGCGCAUUUUACGAUCAGUGGCAAAUGGUUACAAAAGAUCCAGUCGUUCUUUCAUAUAUUAAUGGCUACGAAAUCCCUUUUUCGAGGCCUCCAGUUCAAUCUUUCCAACCUAUUAAUAGGAAAUAUUCCGAGUCGGAAAGAAUUCUUUUUAUUGAGGCCAUUGAUAAGUUAUUAAUAACAGGAGCAAUAUCGAAGUGCUGUGCCCAUCAGGACCAGUAUUUAUCAAAUAUUUUUUUAAUACCCAAGCCAAAUGGCACAAUGCGAUUUAUUUUGAAUCUGAAGUCUUUAAAUAAAUUUAUUGAUACGAAUCAUUUCAAAUUGGAGGACUUGAGGACUGUUUUAAAACUUGUGUCAAUAGAUAGUUAUUUAUGUAAAAUCGACAUAAAGGACGCGUACUUUUUAAUCAAAAUACAUGAGGAUUAUCGCAAGUACCUCAGGUUCCAAUUUGAAGAUUCUUUAUUUGAAUUUAAUGUUCUUCCAUUCGGAUUGAACACCGCUCCAUAUGUAUUUACGAAGGUCAUGAAACCGGUUGUAAAAUUGUUGAGAACCGCUGGACAUAUGUCAACCAUUUACUUAGACGAUUUGUGUUUAAUAGGACAUGACUUUUGGACAUGUCUUGAAAAUUUGCAAGAAACUAAAAGUCUGCUCACAGCUUUGGGCUUUAUCAUCAAUGAUGAAAAAAGUAGCCAAGAACCAUCACAAACUUGCACAUUUUUAGGAUAUGUUAUAGAUACAAAAAAAUUCCAGGUCACCUUGCCAAAAGAAAAAGUUUUAAAAAUUGAAUCGGAAUUAACAAAAUUUUCAAAGAUUAAAUGCUGUAAAAUUAGAACCUUUGCCAGUUUUGUAGGACUAUUGACAUCAGCUUGCCCAGCUGUAGAAUAUGGGUGGCUUUAUACGAAACUUUUUGAAAGAUGUAAAUAUCUUAAUCUAAAAAAUACACUUAAUUAUGAUAAAAUUAUGUCCAUACCAAGGACAUUAGAUUCGGAUAUUGACUGGUGGAAAUGUUCUAUCCACCAUGCGAGUUGCAAAAUUAAGGUUGACAAGUAUGACCUGGAAAUUUUUUCGGAUGCCUCAACAACGGGGUGGGGUAUAGCAUGUGGUAAUCAGAGAGCUAGUGGUCUUUGGAGUUUAGAAGAAAGCAGGCAGCACAUAAAUUUCUUAGAAAUCAUGGCCGCUUUUAUUGGCCUAAAAAUAUUUGCCAAACAUCUUUCCAACUGUCAAAUCCUCCUUCGCAUUGAUAAUACCACUGCUAUUUCCUACAUUAACCGUAUGGGAGGUAUCCAGUUUCCACACUUGACAGAAGUUACAAAACAACUCUGGCAGUGGUGCGAGUCCCAUGGUUUGUUUGUGUUUGCUUCAUACAUUCGCUCAUCGGAAAAUGUAAUCGCCGAUGCAGAGUCAAGGCGAAUCCAUCCCGACAUUGAGUGGCAACUUGCAGACUAUGCAUAUAAUGAAAUAGUUCAUAAAUUAGGCACCCCAAAUAUAGAUUUAUUUGCAAGUCGAGCUAACAAAAAAUGUGCCAUCUAUGCCUCUUGGCAUAGAGACCCGGAUGCGUACGCCAUAAAUGCGUUUACAAUUUCGUGGUCAAGUUAUUAUUUUUAUGCGUUUCCUCCCUUUACAAUGAUCUUAAAAUCCUUAAGAAAGAUCAUUUCUGACAAAGCCAGGGGUAUAAUGGUUGUACCGCAAUGGCCUGCGCAACCGUGGUAUCCACUUUUUAAACAACUUUUAGUGUCAGAACUUAUAGUAUUCAAAGCGGCAGAGAAUUUAAUUAUAUCAAAUGAUUGCAGUCGCCGCCGCCCCAUGCACACAACGAUUACCCUGGUGGCAGGAGUCUUGUCCGGGAGGCGAUGAUAAGAAGAGGAAUCCCACUUGAAUCAUUGGACAUUAUAUUAAAUUCUCUGUCAGAAAACUCGUAUAAACAAUACGAAGGGUGCUAUAAAAAGUGGUUCACUUAUUGUAAUGAGAAUAAGUUGAACAUUUAUGAAGUAUCGAUUCCGGAUAUAAUUAAAUUUUUCACUGUCGUGUACAAUGAGGGAGCUCAAUACGGUACAUUAAAUUCAUAUAGGUCAGCUUUGGCAUUAAUAAUGCAAAAUAACAUUUCUGAUAAUCAAUGCAUUAAAAGAUUUUUCAAAGGGGUUUUCCGCUCUAGGCCAUCAAAACCUAAAUAUAACGAAACUUGGGAUACAUCUCUGGUAUUAAAUUAUCUUGGUAAAUGGUACCCUAACGAAGGACUGAAUAAUUCACAAAUUUCAAAAAAGCUUAUUACUCUUUUAGCCCUUGUCACUGCACAUAGAGUGCAAACAUUUUCUAAAAUUAAAAUUAGUAACAUACAUGUAAAUGAACAGGAAAUCAAAAUCAAAAUCCCAGAUUUGAUAAAGACAUCCAAGCCUGGAUCAGCUCAACCGUUACUGGUCUUACCAUUUUUUAAUGAACGACCAGAGAUUUGUCCCGCAAAAAGUUUGCUUUCUUAUAUUGAAUUAACUAAUUGUUAUAGAGAGAAUCAUGAUUAUCUGUUUUUAAGUCUUCAUAGACCUCAUAAUCCCGUUGGUACACAAACCCUAUCUAGAUGGAUUAAGGAUGUCUUAUCCUUAAGUGGAAUUGAUACUUCUACGUUCACUGCGCAUAGCACCCGACACGCAGCGACAUCAGCGGCAAAAAGGCUUGGAAUUAAUAUUGAUCAAAUCAGAAAAUCUGCGGGUUGGAGCCCUAGCUCCCAUACUUUUGCCAAGUUUUAUAAUAGGCCAAUUGUUAAUAAUAUGUCAGAUAAUUGUAUGGCCAGAACUAUAUUGAAUGAUUCAACAAAUAAGUAAACUAAUUGUUUUUUGUUUUCUAAAGUUUCAACAUAAAUAAUGAUUAUAUAUAGCCUUUCAUUUACAUAUUUUACGACUAUGUCUCUAAAUAUCUACAAGUGUUUAAUAUGCUAAUCUCGAGAACGAAGCAUGAAGUAUAAUUAGAGAUUAAACGAACUUACCUGUAAGU